CCCCUCGUAGUUCAACGGAUAGAAUAACCCCGUCCUAAGGGGUUGAUGACGGUUCAAUUCCGCCCGAGGGGA
rnacentral:tRNA from 4 species